AUCCAGCUGACGAAUCCCAAAUAAGACGAAACGCGCGUAAAACUGGAU
rnacentral:hammerhead_ribozyme from 1 species